rnacentral:rRNA from 1 species
GAGAUGGAUUGGUGCCUUCGGGAACUCUGACACAGGUGCUGCAUGGCUGGUCGUCAGCUCGUGUCGUGAGAUGUGGGUUAAGUCCCGCAACGAGCGCAACCCUUGCCUUUAGUUGCCAGCAGUUCGGCUGGGCACUCUAAAGGGACUGCCGGUGUUAAACCGGAGGAAGGUGGGGAGUGACGUCAAGUCCUCAUGGCCUUUAUGACCAGGGCUACACACGUACUACAAUGGCCGAUACAAAGGGCAGCGACACUGCGAGGUGAAGCCAAUCCCGUAAAAUACGGUCUCAGUCCGGAUUGGAGUCUGCAACUCGACUCCAUGAAGUUGGAAUCGCUAGUAAUCGUGGAUCAGCAUGCCACGGUGAAUACGUUCCCGGGCCUU